CAGUCGCCACGGUAAUACGUAGGAGGCAAGCGUUGUCCGGAAUUAUUGGGCGUAAAGGGCUCGCAGGCGGUUUCUUAAGUCUGAUGUGAAAGCCCCCGGCUCAACCGGGGAGGGUCAUUGGAAACUGGGAAACUUGAGUGCAGAAGAGGAGAGUGGAAUUCCACGUGUAGCGGUGAAAUGCGUAGAGAUGUGGAGGAACACCAGUGGCGAAGGCGACUCUCUGGUCUGUAACUGACGCUGAGGAGCGAAAGCGUGGGGAGCGAACAGGAUUAGAUACCCCCGUAGUCCCUGUCUCUUAUAA
rnacentral:rRNA from 1 species